GAUGAAGAACGUAGCGAAAUGCGAUAAGUAAUGUGAAUUGCAGAAUUCAGUGAAUCAUCGAAUCUUUGAACGCACCUUGCACUCCUUGGUAUUCCGAGGAGUACGCCUGUUCGAGUGUUAUGAAGCUCUCAAAACGCAAUUGGCUUAAAACCUGAUUGUUGUUUUGGAUUUGAACUUUGCAGUGUUAUAACGGCUGGUUUUAAAAGUAUUAGCUGGUACUAGAACGAAUUGGUUCUACUCAACGUGAUAAUUAUCUGAUCGUUGAGGACAUUCCUUUCACGAGGAAUGGCCAUAGUAAAUUCAAUGGACUGCUUCUAAUCUGGCUUUAAUUCUUUAUUGGAUUAACCACUUUUCAAAUCUGACCUCGAAUCAGGUGGGACUACCCGCUGAACUUAAGCAUAUCAAUAAGCGGAGGA
rnacentral:misc_RNA from 1 species